UCCGAUGGCUUAGUGGUUAGAGCGUCCGCCUCGGAUGUGGGUGGUUUUAGAUUCCAUCCCCGCCUGAGGAA